GACAGAGGGGGCAAGCGUUGCUCGGAAUUACUGGGCGUAAAGGGCGCGUAGGCGGGAUGGCAAGUCGGUCGUGAAAUCCCUCGGCUCAACCGAGGAACGUCGAUCGAUACUGCUGUUCUUGAGGAUUGCAGAGGAGAGUGGAAUUCCUGGAUGUAGCGGUGAAAUGCGCAGAUAUCAGGAGGAACACCAACGGCGAAGGCAGCUCUCUGGGACGUUACUGACGCUGAGGCGGCGAAAGCCGUGGGGAGCAAACAGG
rnacentral:rRNA from 1 species